UCCGGCUCCUGGUCUUGGGUGUUGGGGGGUCGUGGGCAGCCCCUCCCCCUCUGCUGCGACACAGGGCAUCGCCACUUCCUCUAGGCCCUACUGCCACAUUGCGCCUCCUCUCCCCUCCCUGCCCCCGAUUGCAGGCCACUCUCCCAGAGAGUCCCAAGUCCAGGCUGGAGGAGUGGGCUUGGGAGAGCUGCCCCUCACCAGAGCCACGUGUAGUGCAACUGCAGCAGGUGCCUGGGAAACCUCCACCUUCAGGCUGCUCCCCCAGGGCUCCAAGGCGAGCACCCUCCCACCAAAGAUGAAGUACUUGCAGGGCAACAGACCAGAAAUGACUCCUUGCCCCACCUGUGAGGCAGUUUGAAACAGGUGCAUUUGUUUAACCUUCUCUGCCUGUUCACAGCUGGGUCCCCAGUCCUGAGGGCACAAGUUCCCCAUAAAUGUUGGGACGCUUCCAGGAGGGGGUCCAGGCUGGGGUCCGAGUGAGCAACCCCUGCCCACCAGCUACUGGGGACACCUGGGCACCCCGGAAACGAAGACAUCCUCAAUAUGCCUCAAAUCCACUGGAUGUAUUGUGCCUCAGGGCCUUUGCAUGGGCUGUACUUGCCCUCUGAUGUGCCCUUUCCCCAACCUCUGACCUCAGUUCCUAUUUCCUGGACUCAUCUCCACCAUGGAGCCCUCUUGGAAUCCCUUUCCCCUCACAUCACUGCUGUGGCCCCACAGCCACCAAUGCAGAGCCUGGCACACAGAGGGGGCUCUGAAAACAGUGUCUAGCUGAAUAAACUUUGAUGAA